UCCGGUUUGACACCGGCAGUCUCCCUAGAGUUCCCGGCAUGACCCGCUGGUAACUAGGGACAAGGGUUGCGCUCGUUGCGGGACUUGACCCAACAUCUCACGACACGAGCUGACGACAACCAUGCACCACCUGUGAACCGACCGCAAGCGGGGCACCUGUUUCCAGGCAUUUCCGGUCCAUGUCAAGCCUUGGUAAGGUUCUUCGCGUUGCAUCGAAUUAAUCCGCAUGCUCCGCCGCUUGUGCGGGCCCCCGUCAAUUCCUUUGAGUUUUGGCCUUGCGGCCGUACUCCCCAGGCGGGGUGCUUAAUGCGUUAGCUUCGGCACGGAGGGAGUUGACACCCCCCACACCUAGCACCCAUCGUUUACGGCGUGGACUAC
rnacentral:misc_RNA from 1 species